rnacentral:rRNA from 1 species
GGAGGGGGCUAGCGUUGCUCGGAAUUACUGGGCGUAAAGGGCGCGUAGGCGGAUUUUCUAGUCAGGCGUGAAAGCCCCGGGCUCAACCCGGGAAUAGCGCUUGAUACUGGAAGUCUAGAGUUCUGGAGAGGGUGGUGGAAUUCCCAGUGUAGAGGUGAAAUUCGUAGAUAUUGGGAAGAACACCGGUGGCGAAGGCGGCCACCUGGCCAGACACUGACGCUAAGGCGCGAAAGCGUGGGGAGCAAACAGGAUUAGAUACCCUGGGUAGUCCACGCCGUAAACGAUGUGUGCUAGACGUCGGGCAGCUUGCUGUUCGGUGUCGCAGCUAACGCGUUAAGCACACCGCCUGGGGGAGUACGGUCGCAAGAUUA